rnacentral:rRNA from 1 species
CAACUCGCCUACACGAAGUUGGAAUUGCUAGUAAUCGUGGAUCAGCAUGCCACGGUGAAUACGUUCCCGGGUCUUGUACACACCGCCCGUCACACCAUGGGAGCUGGUAACACCCGAAGUCAGUAGUCUAACCGCAAGGAGGACGCUGCCGAAGGUGGGAUUAGCGACUGGGGUGAAGUCGUAACAAGGUAGC